GCGACAUUGGUCUAGAGGUAUGAUUCUCGCUUAGGGUGCGAGAGGUCCCUGGUUCAAUUCCAGGAUGUCGCC
rnacentral:tRNA from 2 species